AUUGAACGCUGGCGGCAUGCCUAACACAUGCAAGUCGAGCGCGCGGCGGACGGGUGAGUAAUGUCUGGGAAACUGCCUGUUGGAGGGGGAUAACUCCUGGAAACGGUAUCUAAUACCGCAUACCAUCAGAUGUGCCCCGAUGGGAUUAUCUCGUGGGUGGGGUAACGGCUCACCUAGGCGACGAUCCCUAGCUGGUCUGAGAGGAUGACCAGCCACACUGGAACUGAGACAAGGUCCAGACUCCUACGGGAGGCAGCAGGGGGGAAGAUUGCACAAUGGGCGCAAGCCGGAUGCAGCCAUGCCGCGUGGGUGAAGAAGGCCUUCGGGUUGUAAAGCACGUUCAGCGGGGAGGCGUUACCCGCAGAAGAAGCACCGGCUAACUCCGUGCCAGCAGCCGCGGUAAUUC
rnacentral:rRNA from 1 species